UACGUAGGGUGCGAGCGUUAAUCGGAAUUACUGGGCGUAAAGCGUGCGCAGGCGGUUCGUUAAGUUCGUUGUGAAAGCCCCGGGCUCAACCUGGGAACUGCAAUGGAAACUGGCGGGCUUGAGUAUGGCAGAGGGGGGUGGAAUUCCGGGUGUAGCAGUGAAAUGCGUAGAGAUGCGGAGGAACACCGAUGGCGAAGGCAGCCCGCUGGGCCAAUACUGACGCUCAGGCACGAAAGCGUGGGGAGCAAACAGG
rnacentral:rRNA from 1 species